rnacentral:rRNA from 1 species
CGCGUAGGCGGCUUGGCAAGUCAGAUGUGAAAUCCCCGAGCUUAACUCGGGAAUUGCAUCUGAAACUGCUUUGCUUGAGUCCUGGAGGGGGUAGUGGAAUUCCCAGUGUAGCGGUGAAAUGCGUAGAUAUUGGGAGGAACACCGGCGGCGAAGGCGGCUACCUGGACAGUGACUGACGCUGAGGCGCGAAAGCUAGGGGAGCGAACGGGAUUAGAUACCCCGGUAGUCCUAGCCGUAAACGAUGGGCACUUGGUGUUGGGGGUAUUGAGUCCCCCGGUGCCGGAGUUAACACGUUAAGUGCCCCGCCUGGGGAGUACGGUCGCAAGACUGAA